CAAUAGCGUAUAUUAAAGUUGUUGCGGUAAAAAAGCUCGUAGUUGGAUUUCUACCGAAGAUAGCCGGUCGGGUCUUCUACCUUGUAUCUGGUUUUGUCUUUGGUAUCCUCAUAGGGAACGUUUCUGCGCUUUAUUGCGUGGUGCGGUAUCUAUGACUUUUACUUUGAGGAAAUUAGAGUGUUCACGGCAGGCAAACGCCUUGAAUAUAUUAGCAUGGAAUAAUAACAUAGGAUCUUCGUCCUAUUUUGUUGGUUUCUAGGGCUAAGAUAAUGAUUAAUAGGGAUAAUUGGGGGCAUCUGUAUCAACGCGUCAGAGGUGGAAUUCUUGGAUUGCGUUGCGACAAACUACUGCGAAAGCAUUUGCCAAGGAUGUUUUCAUUGA
rnacentral:rRNA from 1 species